rnacentral:rRNA from 1 species
UACGUAGGGGGCUAGCGUUGUCCGGAUUUAUUGGGCGUAAAGAGCGUGUAGGCGGCCAGGUAGGUCUGGUGUGAAAACUCGAGGCUUAACCUCGAGAUGUCAUCGGAAACCAUUUGGCUAGAGUCCGGAAGAGGAGAGCGGAAUUCCUGGUGUAGCGGUGAAAUGCGCAGAUAUCGGGAGGAACACCUAUGGCGAAGGCAGCUCGCUGGGACGUUACUGACGCUGAGACGCGAAAGCGUGGGGAGCAAACAGG